UUUCAUUUCUAUAUCAACCUGCAGAUAGUGUUGAGAGAAUAGUAUGAAAGAAUUGAAAUGAGAACACAAUAGUCAACAUACAUAUUUCACUUCUAUACAAUUUAUCAUCCGUGUCGAUAAAAGCGUGCUUUGUUAUCAUACAAGUUGAUGAUGAAGGAAUGACUCUUCUCUUCUCCGUCGAUAAUCUUUGAGAGAGAAACAACUGUUUGAAUGUAUAUAAGUAAAAAUUUUCGUGUUAUGUCCAAGAGAUUUCCAAUGAAAUGAAAUUAAUAUUUCAUAACAACAGAU
rnacentral:lncRNA from 1 species